UACGUAGGGGGCAAGCGUUGUCCGGAUUUACUGGGCGUAAAGAGCGUGUAGGCGGCCAUGUAGGUCCGUUGUGAAAACUCGAGGCUCAACCUCGAGACGCCGAUGGAAACCAUGUGGCUAGAGUCCGGAAGAGGAGAGUGGAAUUCCUGGUGUAGCGGUGAAAUGCGCAGAUAUCAGGAAGAACACCCGUGGCUAAGGCGGCUCUCUAGUACGGUACUGACGCUGAGGCGCGAAAGCGUGGGGAGCGAACAGG
rnacentral:rRNA from 1 species